rnacentral:rRNA from 1 species
ACAUAUUACCGAAGCUGUGGAUUGUCCUUUGGACAAUGGUAGGAGAGCGUUCUAAGGGUGUUGAAGCAUGAUCGUAAGGACAUGUGGAGCGCUUAGAAGUGAGAAUGCCGGUGUGAGUAGCGAAAGACGGGUGAGAAUCCCGUCUACCGAUUGACUAAGGUUUCCAGAGGAAGGCUCGUCCGCUCUGGGUUAGUCGGGUCCUAAGCUGAGGCCGACAGGCGUAGGCGAUGGAUAACAGGUUGAUAUUCCUGUACCACCUAUAAUCGUUUUAAUCGAUGGGGGGACGCAGUAGGAUAGGCGAAGCGUGCGAUUGGAUUGCACGUCUAAGCAGUAAGGCUGAGUAUUAGGCAAAUCCGGUACUCGUUAAGGCUGAGCUGUGAUGGGGAGAAGACAUUGUGUCUUCGAGUCGUUGAUUUCACACUGCCGAGAAAAGCCUCUAGAUAGAAAAUAGGUGCCCGUAC